rnacentral:rRNA from 1 species
UACGGGGGGGGCAAGCGUUGUUCGGAAUUACUGGGCGUAAAGGGUUCGUAGGUGGCCAACUAAGUCAGGCGUGAAAUCCCUCAGCUCAACUGGGGAACUGCGUCUGAUACUGGUUGGCUUGAGUGCAGGAGAGGAACGCGGAAUUCCAGGUGUAGCGGUGAAAUGCGUAGAUAUCUGGAGGAACACCGGUGGCGAAGGCGGCAUCCUGGACCAACACUGACGCUGAGUGAGCGAAAGCCAGGGGAGCAAACGGG